GGCAACAUAAGUGCAAGGAGCGGGGGGAAUACGGAGGGUGGGGGCGUUAAUCGGGAUUACUGGGGUGAAAGGGUGCGCAGGCGGUUUUGUAAGUUAGAUGUGAAAUCCCCGGGCUUAACCUGGGAACUGCGUUUGAAACUACAAGGCUAGAGUGUGGCAGAGGGGGGUGGAAUUCCACGUGUAGCAGUGAAAUGCGUAGAGAUGUGGAGGAACACCGAUGGCGAAGGCAGCCCCCUGGGUUAACACUGACGCUCAGGCACGAAAGCGUGGGGAGCAAACAGGAUUAGAUACCCUGUAGUC
rnacentral:rRNA from 1 species